UGUUGAAGACUCCAGAAAGAGUAGAAGGCUCCAGAACGUGUUUUAAGAGAAGGCCCCAGAACGUGUUUUUAGCAUAAUGGGUAACCAAGAAAGUGUCCCGAAGGGCUAUUGUUCACCUGAACAAUACGUGGCGGACCGGAGAGGAAAACGUCAUGUUAAAAGAUUGGGCCAGUUAGAAAAAAGUUAUGAUAUUGCAAAAGGGGGUA